rnacentral:rRNA from 1 species
GAUGAACGCUGGCGGCGUGCCUAAUACAUGCAAGUCGAGCGAACAGACGAGGAGCUUGCUCCUCUGACGUUAGCGGCGGACGGGUGAGUAACACGUGGAUAACCUACCUAUAAGACUGGGAUAACUUCGGGAAACCGGAGCUAAUACCGGAUAAUAUAUUGAACCGCAUGGUUCAAUAGUGAAAGACGGUUUUGCUGUCACUUAUAGAUGGAUCCGAGCCGCAUUAGCUAGUUGGUAAGGUAACGGCUUACCAAGGCAACGAUGCGUAGCCGACCUGAGAGGGUGAUCAGCCACACUGGAACUGAGACACGGUCCAGACUCCUACGGGAGGCAGCAGUAGGGAAUCUUCCGCAAUGGGCGAAAGCUUGACGGAGCAACGCCGCGUGAGUGAUGAAGGUCUUCGGAUCGUAAAACUCUGUUAUUAGGGAAGAACAAAUGUGUAAGUAACUAUGCACGUCUUGACGGUACCUAAUCAGAAAGCCACGGCUAACUACGUG